GCAAGUCAUCCUUGGCUGCA
rnacentral:snRNA from 1 species